rnacentral:lncRNA from 1 species
CAAGGACCAUCAGUAACAGACCAAGAGCAGCCUGCUCCUUCCAGCAGCAGCGUCCUCACUUCUCCUUGGGGCAGGCUGGCCCUGAAGUACUCUUCAGCCUAGCACAGCAGUGUGAUAUGCUGGCACAGUGAGGUUCCCGGCAACGCGGACAGACAAGGGAGCACAACUGUCAGCCUCCUCCUUCCUGAGUUCCUUGCCUGCAAGAAUGUCUCUUCACAUGGAAAGCCAGCGGCCACUAAUUUGGGUCAGUUUUCAUAUUCUGGCAUUAAGGACCUGGAGCGGUCACUGCAGCGGAGCAGGGAGAGCUCAUAUCCCGGGAUCAAGAGGCCCUCCAGAGUGGAAAUGUGGGAAGCCCACAUGCAGCUCCUCUCGCUCGCCUUCUCUCUUGUGCUGGCAGCAGAGGCCAGUAGUGCUAUGCAGAAGCUGUGUGCUCCCGCAGCGAGAGGUGAAGGCAAGCACCGCACUAUUUUGCAGCUCUCCCUCAGGCUGCCAGAAGAACAAACAGUGAAUUAGCAGACCCAAGGAAUCUGUCAUUUUGACCUCUGUCCAACUGCUUUUAGUUAACGGUUUGCAUUGCAUACUGGUCAAUGGCAAAACCUUCCCUGGACUUUGGGCACAGCCUCAAAACCAAGAGCCUGAUGCUGCAAGCCGUCCUUGUGCCAUGAUCAAGGUAAUCCUCAUCCAUUCACACAUGGGCUGCUGCUGUGGGUGAGAGCUGCAAGCAUCACAGGAACCUAUCCUGCCUCUGAUACUUACGGUUUAAUAAUACUGACGGGAUCUGUGCAGAUGCAUCAGGGAAGUAUAAGGUCCCCCUAACCUGAGGAAAUGCAGGCAAUCCUAACACUAUGGCUGAUUUCAUUAAGUACAAACGUAUCUCGAGUGCACUGAAUGGCAAAUGUAUUCAGCAGGUUUAACCUGCUUCUGCGUCUCUGAAUUUUGAAAAUUAUGAUUUUARUAAGUUUAUAACAUGCUCAAAAUAAACUGAGAGGUAUUUAUAUAAAAGGAUUUCA